rnacentral:snRNA from 1 species
UUACUUACCUGGCAGUGGAGAUACCAUGAUCAGGCAGGUGUUUUUCCCAGGGCGAGUCUCAUCUCUUGCACUCCAGCUGCGCUGACCACUGCAAUUUCCCCAAAUGUGGGAAAAUCAAUUGCUUAAUUUGUGGUAGUGGGGGACUGCGUUCAUGCUCUUCUCUU